rnacentral:tRNA from 1 species
GGUGAGGUGUCCGAGUGGCUGAAGGAGCACGCCUGGAAAGUGUGUAUACGGCAACGUAUCGGGGGUUCGAAUCCCCCCUGGAGUGCAA